UUUGACAUGCAUUUCUGGACUCUUUGCUUCACAUGACACCACCAUAACUCACAGCUACCAGAAUAGCUGCAGGCACAUCUCCUAGUCCCCCUGUCCAGGAACUGAUCACAGGCAGGCAAGCAGAGUGGCCAGAGACCAGGCAGACGGAGGAACUUCCACUGACAGCCGCAGCCAAAGCAGCUGACUUGGAAUGACCUGGCUGGAAAUCACAAGGGUAACACAUUUGCACAAAGCAGGGACAAAAAUAGAUUCCCCCAGUUCAGUUGUAAUAAACUGGAAUCUGUUUAUAGAGGAGGCUUUGCAUAAUUGUGCUCUUGGUUAACAGCUGGGAACAAACCUGGAGUCUCCAGGGAUGGGCCACAGCUGACUAGCUCAGCUUUCUCACUUUCAGUUUGUCCCAAUUAGAUGCACGUACAUGGGGAUUAUCUCUGAUUUUCACCCAGGCCUUUCAGGGUCUCAUUUCUACCAAGAAUAGUAGCUGUGGGCUACGUUCUGACCUUCUAAAGCUUGCUUUUCUUUUUCCUUUUUUUUUCCCUUAUCUCUGGGUGGAGAUGUUCAGGAAUCUCCUCUCAACACCUUUCUUUCCAUGUCAAACAUGCUCAGGACUUGCAAAGUGACAAGACAGAUAAAUGCCUUGUCCUUUUUGCUGCCUCAUGAGCCAGCAGACUUGAGGGACAGAGGAAGAUCCAGCAGGACUGAAAAAAAUCACCUUUUGCUCAAGACAAAGAUUCCCUUUGCCUCCUACGAAGGUGGAUGCCGUUAUGGCUUCUGUUGCUCUCCCUGUGGAUUAGACGUGAGCUUCCCUGAUGAAUAAAAAAACAAGUUGGGAAAGUUUUUAACUUGAGUUUCUUUUCCAGAGCGACUGCAGUCGGAUGAGUCAGGCAAUGCAGCUGCAGGAUAACGAAGGUGAAUGUGUAUUUUAAUGAACCCUUCAGAUCAGAUGCAAUGAAGGCCUUCCCAAUGCUUUACAGUGGAAGGCAGUUUUCAGCUGCUGUCCUUCUCUCCUGAUGGUCCCGUGACACCGAGUGACUCUGCAUAGAGCCCUUGCUUUUCUCCCUCAGACAACCGGCACUGCUUAUGCUGCAGCUGAAGCAGAGAGGGACCAGGGGACCCUUCACUCUGCACCCAGAUCAGAGCUGCUCAGAAACCAUGAUGGCUGCUGACUUUGCACAAUGAAGACAUGUAUAGCUCUGUAUGAAGCACCUCUGCUCACAGGUCACUUCUGCAUAUGUGGAGACCUCCUUGCCCUAAAAGGAACAUUUAUGACCCCUGUGAAACAGUCCUGUCUCGCCAAGGCCUUGCAGCUCAUUGAACUGGAUCCCUAGACUUUAUCUGCUUGGGAAUAGCUAGUAUUAAAAGCUGCAGUUUUGGGCUGUAUAACCAGUAAUGGUGGGAGAGCUCAGUCUUGUCCUUUUGUCUGUGUUUGGAUAUACCCAACAGCUCCAAGCUCUGCCCCUGCUGCAGAGAGCCCAGUCCACCCUGAUGUGGUUUCUGUGCCCUUAGUGACACAUGUACCCAGUACAAAAUCUGUCUAACUGGGAUCCACACCUCAGAUCUAGGAAUCUGAUAAGGAGAUGAAGACUAGUUCCCCAUAUUGCAAUGAAGUCUUAAUGCAUUUGCUUUUAAUUAGAACUGGGAUUUUUAUAGCCAUAGAAAUUUUAAGGAACAAACAGUGCUCUGGGACCAGAGAGGAGAAAACACAAAUGAUAUUUUCUUCUAUUAAAGCACCAUACAGAUGAAGUAAAGCUAAGAGCCUUCAUACAGUUUGAUGCAGACUGCAGAAGUCUCUAAAACUGAGGUGCUUUUCACAUAAGUUUGUUAGGAUUCAGCUCUCCCAUCCCCUAACUCGCAUUCAGGCAAAUGCUAAGUCACAGACUAUUGCUUUGCAAGGUUAAGUUACGGUGUAAUCAGCUGCUCUAAGUGCUGUUACCUAUGAGAUAAUGAGAGACUUAUGUUCACACUCACCUGAUCACUAAACAUAUUCCUAGGUUCUGUACACUAUUUCAUCAUAGUCACCAUCAUUGGCAGCAGCGGCAACAUGUUACCUAGUGACUCUGGACUCAUUCCCUCAAUGAUCUGCAGCAUUCAGGCUUACACUUGGGAGUGGGUGGAUUGCACCUGCACCUGCUAAUCCUAUCUUAUUUGCUCACAAGCACUCAGGUUUGAGCAUGGGAGAGACAGCUAAGGGAGGGCACUCAAGCCCUCGCAGUGGGUGGAGUGCAGCCAGAAUGAAUUGCAUGUGCUGGAAGAUGGAUGAUGGAUGGCAGACCACCAAGUUUGUAGAGAGCUUUUUGUCUUAAUGACUUCUGACUGAAUAAGCCCAAGACGAAGUGUGGCAAAGACAUUGAUGGGAUGUGUUUUAUUUACCCUUCUAACUUUCAUGAGUUACAGAAUGGUGUGUGACUAGCAAGUCUCACUAAUCAUUUGUCGGGCUGAGCUCGGAGACAGUCCGUAGUGGUAUAAGGUACUCAUAGUCCUACUAAGCAAGCAGGGAGAUAGACAUGUCCCUCCACACUAGACAUAGUUUCUAAAUUCCACUUCUGGAAAAAAAAGAAUUAGUUAUAGUUAUAAGAACUGGACUGCGUGUGUCAUAUUUCCUUCUCCAGGACAGAGUCUUGGCACUUCAUGGCUUUAGUCAUUGCCUCUCUUCCCCUGCUAUGAGCUGGAUGUGUACUGGGUAUGCUUAUAACCUGUGGAUAGUGAUGAGGCAAACCCCUCAUCCCCAAGGUACUCUCCAAGAACUAACAUAUUAUGAGCUCAUUUUUAUUUUAGAGCUCUUGCACCAGCAAUAAUGCAAAUGUUGAGUUCCUCAUGGAUGUGCCAGGAUUUGCCUGCCCAGAAAAAAAUACAUAGUCUAUUUAAAACAGCUCAAAAGGUUGUAGAGAUACUGAACUUUUGUUUUUCAGAAAGUUUAUUUUGAUCUUGUCUGCCUAGACCAAGGAUUGCAGCGAGUGACUCUCAAGGGGAGUAAACACAGACAGCCUAUCCUCUGAGCUCCAGCAGUAUGUGCCUGGCAUGACAGUGCAGCAUCAUUUCCUUAAUACAAUGGCAGAGUUUUCAGGGUAUUUUGCCUGAAGUAGAAAAAUCAUCUUAGUUCUUCUGUCACAGCAAAGCAAUGAAAUUGUAGACAGGUAAAACUAGUCCAGUUGCAUCCUCCUCCCCCAUCUGUGAAGGUAGCACUGAUGUCUAGGAACCUCCUCUGAUUCUGACAGUGGUCAUGUCAAAGGAGAGGCUGUGAACAACAGCUGGAGUGAAAUGAGAAAUUUGUUAAAUGGACAUACCAUACAAUGGUGUAAAUGUGAUAUCCUACUGUUGAAAGGGAGAGGAUAUUUAAAAUAAAGGUACAUCCUUCAAAUUCUUUAAAAUUGCAAGUAAUGACAUUACUAUUAGUUUCUUGAGGUCAUGUAAUAACAGCAAUACAGUAGUUUAGGUGAACAUUGGCCAUCUUGACAGUGUACAGCCAUGGCUUCCCUACCUUUCGGCCUCUUCCAGUCUUCUUUUUUGCUGAACUACAGUCCAACAAGCAAGUUGCUGCAAAGAAAACUUCCAUUCUUUGUACUAUGGAAAUGACAAAUCAGAGGAAACCUGAUUUUGAAAGGUAAGUAGGUUUAUAUAUAUUGAGAGGAGUAUAUCAUCUCUGUGCCUGCACCUUCAUUAGCAGUAAUAUAUGAAAGUGUCUAUGGGCCUGGUGAAAAGAAAAUGAAAAUUAAUACAUUCGUUUCACAAACUAGGCCUGGAGAAGUCUUCCAGCCCAUCGCUAUGCAGGGAGUUACUGUAUGCUGCUAGUGUAGCACUUCUCUUACAAUAGUUAAGGCAAAGCUUUUAAAAAAGAUGUAUUGUGUUAAGUGCAUUUUCACCAUACUUUCCAACACCGGCACCCAAACAGCCUUUCCAGGGCUGGAUGAUUACACUCUCCAAAAAAAGUAAACACUCAAGUUCAGGAGAAGCAUUGGAAUAGCCAUAUCCACUCACUUCUGACACCCACCAGAUGUACAUGUAAAGAACAAGCAAUCCAUGCAAACAAAAUGUACAACCUGGUAUUUCUACUAUUCCUGAUUAUGGUUAAGAGGCUGUAAGUAGAAAUAAUAAAAAGAAAAUUAAGGCAAUCACCAUACAAGUCACCUGUCCAUUUCUCCACAAGCAGGUUUAUUUGUCUUUGACAGAACAAAACAGCUUUUUAAAGUCUGACAGAUCUGCUGCAGAGGGUUAUGUUCUGCAACUUUCUUCAAGUGAGCUUUGUGAUCUAAUAAGUAUUUUCCAGGUCAAAGUUUAUAGAGUUGUAAAAAAAACAGGGGCAGGUUUUGAUUCUUUUGAGCCCAACAGGAAUUUUGCCAUCAACUCUGGUACAACCAGAAACACAGGGUUCUAAAUGUAUAGAAGUUUUAGAGAGAAAAGUAUCUGUCUUACCUUAGAUUUUCAGUUUUGCACAACAGUUUUCUCACCUUAUAUGCAGGUUAUAUUCAGUUCCCCAUGGUCUUACUGGAAUAAAGGUGGAAUAAAGAUUGUACUAAAAAUCACUUUUUACAACUGAGCCCUUCAUCUGCUACAGAACAGUGUUUUUGACGUGUUAACUCUUAUGUGUAGAUGUUACAUCAGUGGUCUGUAUUGGGUGAGCAGGCUGGGGAAGGGCGGCAAUAAUCACUACUCACGUGCUCCCACGCUGCAGCCCUCACUGAUGCAGAGUCUUCAGCCACCAACCUUGCAUGGCUGUCUUUGCUGUUGCUACAGCUGAUUUCAUUCGAGUUGCUUCAGAAGCAGAUAGGACUGUUUCCUGUUGCCUCACCCUCUGGAAAUGUUUUCAUUAAAUGAUAAAGAGAUUCA